UACGUAGGGUGCGAGCGUUGUCCGGAAUUAUUGGGCGUAAAGAGCUUGUAGGUGGUUUGGUAGGUCCGUUGUGAAAACUCGAGGCUCAACCUCGAGACGCCGAUGGAAACCAUCAGACUAGAGUCCGGAAGAGGAGAGUGGAAUUCCUGGUGUAGCGGUGAAAUGCGCAGAUAUCAGGAAGAACACCCGUGGCUAAGGCGGCUCUCUAGUACGGUACUGACGCUGAGACGCGAAAGCGUGGGGAGCGAACAGG
rnacentral:rRNA from 1 species